GCAAGUCUUGCAAGAAGAAAGGCGUACGUGCUGUCAAGGAAUCUCUCGAACUCGUUGAAUGGUAAUGUUUUCAAGUACAGUUUCUCGCUUACAAGGGGCUUCGCUUCGGCAUCUGAUGAGAACGACGUCGUCGUCAUCGGAGGUGGACCUGGUGGUUACGUGGCCGCCAUCAAGGCCGCCCAGCUUGGUCUCAAGACUACGUGCAUCGAGAAGCGUGGGGCCCUCGGCGGCACGUGCCUUAACGUCGGAUGCAUCCCCUCUAAGGUUUGUUUGUUCUGCAAUCCUAGUUUUUUUUUUCCUUCUCUAUCUUUAAGAUAUGAUUUUUACUGUAAUUAGUAUAAUUGUGUUGAGAGAAUUGAUUAAUAUAGUUGCGUGUUUGCGUUUGUGUUUAUAAUUGGAUCGAGUGGUUUGAUUUAUAUGAAUCAAGAUCCGAUUUUUGAAGUUUUGAUUUAGUGUGUAAAUGGUAUUUGCUGAGAAUUGAUGGAUUUUACUACCGUCAGUUAAUUUUAAUAUUGACCGUUAGUUGACUGUACAAAGGCAAUAUUGCCCUUAACAACAAUUUGUAGACUGACAUAACUAAAAAAAAACUAAAAUUGUUGGUGCGAAAAGCACAAAUCCUAUUUUUUGAUAAUUUUAUUUUGUCAAUUCCAAAGAUUUACAAUAUCAUAGGUAAAGAUUAUGAUUAUUUCAUUUUCAAAUUUUUAAUUUUAUCUUUCUUGUAGGAACUUUAAGAAAAUAUUAAUAAUUUAAAGAGGAUAAAAUAGCCAACAAUUUUAGUUUUUUUUUAUAGUUAUGUCAGUCUACAAACUAUUGUUAAGGGUAAUAUUGUCUUUGCACAGUCAACUAACGGUCAAUGUUAAAAUUAACUGACGAUAGAGAAUUUUUUUAUAAAUAAACAGAUUCUCGCCAUCUACUUGCAACAAGCCCAAACCUCAGGGGAAUUUUUUUAAAAAUAACCCAUUUUUAAUCUAACAAGUAACAACAGGCACUAAAAAAUACAUACAUGAACAGAGUUAAUAUUUGUAUUUUUUGGGGAAAAUUCAGGGACUUAAAUGUUAUUAUCCGCACAAAAAAAUUCAACCGCGAACUGUGCAGACAACUGAAAUUUUCGAUGAAUAAAUAAAUAAAAGGCGCAGUCCGAGUUAGACCAAAAACCCACCAAUUCAAUCGAUUGAUUGGAGAAAAAGUUGAUUGAAAAAUGGCGAUGGCAAGUCUUGCAAGAAGAAAGGCGUACGUGCUGUCAAGGAAUCUCUCGAACUCGUUGAAUGGUAAUGUUUUCAAGUACAGUUUCUCGCUUACAAGGGGCUUCGCUUCGGCAUCUGAUGAGAACGACGUCGUCGUCAUCGGAGGUGGACCUGGUGGUUACGUGGCCGCCAUCAAGGCCGCCCAGCUUGGUCUCAAGACUACGUGCAUCGAGAAGCGUGGGGCCCUCGGCGGCACGUGCCUUAACGUCGGAUGCAU
rnacentral:lncRNA from 1 species